GACGAACGCUGGCGGCGUGCUUAACACAUGCAAGUCGAACGGAAAGACCCUGCUUUUGUGGGGUUCUCGAGUGGCGAACGGGUGAGUAACACGUGAGUAACCUGCCCUUGACUUUGUGAUAACUUCAGGAAACUGGGGCUAAUACCGGAUAGGAGCUCCUGCUGCAUGGUGGGGGUUGGAAAGUUUCGGCGGUUGGGGAUCGACUCGCGGCUUAUCAGCUUGUUUGGGGGGUAGUGGCUUACCAAGGCUUUGACGGAUAGCCGGCCUGGGAGGGUGGCCAGCGACAUUGGGACUGAGAUACGGACCAGACUCGAACGGUCGGCAGCAGUGGGAAAUAUGGCACAGUGGGCGGAAGGCUGAUGCAGAGACCCCCCGUGCGGGAUGAUGGCUUUCUGGUUGAAAACCGCUUUGGACUGAGACGAAGCGUGAUUGACGGUAAUUGGUAAAGAAGCACCGGCUAACUACGUG
rnacentral:rRNA from 1 species